AUGUAAACUUGGGCACCUUAUUACAUUUUUAAAGCCUCAUGUUCUUUACCUGUCAAAUGGAGAUGAUAGUUCCUUCCCAACAAGUUGAUAUCAAAUUAGACAACGAAUGUGAUGAGUGUUUUGCUUUAACAAAUUUGCCAUUAGUCUUCUUCAGCCUGUUUGUCAUUGGAUAAACAGCUAUAGGGAUUGGAGAUUAAUUGGCUCUGUGCAGGCUGUGUAUGUGGCCUAAAGUGAGCCCUGAGACUUUGAUAUAUGUGAGAAAGGAACAUCAUGGGGGUCUCUGACCAAACUGAGCAUAAGCCAUAAGGUUCUCAGGGGUUUGAGAAGAAGCAGGGCUGAUAGAGGGCUGAUGUGGAGUGUAGAUGGAGUUGCAGUUGGAAGGAUGCAACUAGGAAGGCAAGGAGAAAUUGGAAGCAGAAAAGGGGUAGAAAGGCCAGGAGUGAUGGGAUGGUGUUAUGGACCAGAUGAAGGCCACAUACACAGAGUUUAGUGUUUCUGCUUAGGAUUGAGAUGUUCCUUAUCUUAUCUUUGUUAUUACCAAUUCAUACCAAACCCUAGACCUGGAUCUCCAGUUUACAAAUUUCAAUUUGACAGAAGAAGUAAUGGAGAAUGUGGGCCAUGGGAGAAGCAUCGUCUUGAAUGUGCUAUCUCAGGAGUGGGGAAGAGGAAGGAGUUGAAUCAACAAAAGAUUGGAAUGUUUCUAUUGGAAAAGAAAUAGGCUGCUAAAACCUAUUUCUCUGAACCUUCUUUGUCCCAAUAUCAACCUUUUCCUUCAUUUAAGCACAUUGCUGAUUCAGAACUGAAUUUGAGUUGGCAAAUAUUGAAUAAAUAAAAAUAAUGAAAUGCUAAUACAUGUGAAGUCUAUGGACAUAGAUAUUUUUAGUUAGGCCUAAAAUUUUGGCCUAGAAAUUUUUACCCUUUAGCUGAAUCUCCAAGAUUUCUUUAGUGAAGGCACAACAGAAGGCAGUAAAUGUAAUUUGUAAAGAAUAAAACCACUUGUGAAACAAAUCUUUGUAGACAUGCUACCUCUUUUAACUACUUCAGCUUUUUUUUUUUUUUUUUUUUUUGAAAAGGCCAGGCUAUAAAUAAAUAAUCGUAAUUCUCUUGGCUGAGUUUCCAAAGUGAUUGGACAUUCAGCUUUGACUAGCUUUAUACUGAACGGCCUCUGGUAACUUAGGCAUUGUAAAAUCUCCUUCAAAUGCACAAUAGAUGUGCCUUCCCUGUUUUUCGAAAUCCCAAGGGUUGACUUUAUCUCUUGUUCUCUUCAUUCUACGACUUGCCUUUUGAGAAACUUUUAAUGAGCAUAUAUCACUCACCUUCUUUUUUGACCCAUUAUUAAUUGAAUGUCUAAAGGAAGACAUGUGGUAACUUUUGCUGGAAAAUGCACAACCAUGACAGGAAACAUUCUGUUAUUCCUACUCCUAAUCUGCUUCUUUUUCUACUCUGUCUAUAGUCCCUACAGAAUACUUCUCUCUCUUUUAUUCUACUCAAAAUUGGUCACGAAAUCCUUUCAUUUCUACCUCUUUUGCAGUUGCUGAAUCUCUUCAUCUUCUUUACCUCCAUUUAAGAUCUCAGAAAUCUCUUGCUUGAUUCUUUUUUUGUCUUUUUUUUUUUUUUUUUGCUAUU
ensembl:lncRNA